UACGUAGGUUGCAAGCGUUGUCCGGAUUUCUUGGGUUUAAAGGGUGCGUAGGCGGCUUCAUAAGUCAGUGGUGAAAGCCGAUCGCUUAACGAUCGAACUGCCAUUGAUACUGCUAGGCUUGAGUAUAGUUGAGGUAGGCGGAAUUGACAGUGUAGCGGUGAAAUGCAUAGAUAUUGUCAAGAACACCAAUUGCGAAGGCAGCUUACUAAAGUAUAACUGACGCUGAGGCACGAAAGCGUGGGGAUCAAACAGG
rnacentral:rRNA from 1 species